UACGAAGGGGGCUAGCGUUGCUCGGAAUUACUGGGCGUAAAGGGAGCGUAGGCGGGUUAUCAAGUUGGAGGUGAAAGCCCAGGGCUCAACCUUGGAAUUGCCUUCAAAACUGAUAGCCUAGAGUAUGAUAGAGGUAUGUGGAACUCCGAGUGUAGAGGUGAAAUUCGUAGAUAUUCGGAAGAACACCGGUGGCGAAGGCGGUCUGCUGGGGUAAUGCUGACACUGAUGCGCGACAGCGUGGGGAGCAAACAGG
rnacentral:rRNA from 1 species